AACUUUCAACAACGGAUCUCUUGGUUCUCGCAUCGAUGAAGAACGCAGCGAAAUGCGAUACGUAAUAUGAAUUGCAGAUAUUCGUGAAUCAUGGAAUCUUUGAACGCACAUUGCGCCCUUUGGUAUUCCAAAGGGCAUGCCUGUUUGAGCGU
rnacentral:rRNA from 1 species